CGGUGCGAUCAUACCAACACUAAUGCGCCAGAUCGAAUCAGAACUCCGCAGUUAAGUGUGUUUGGGCGAGAGUAGUACUAGGAUGGGUGACCUCGUGGGAAAUCCUCAUGUUGCACCCC